GAGUUUGAUCCUGGCUCAGGAUGAACGCUGGCGGCGUGCCUAAUACAUGCAAGUCGAGCGAACGGACGAGAAGCUUGCUUCUCUGAUGUUAGCGGCGGACGGGUGAGUAACACGUGGAUAACCUACCUAUAAGACUGGGAUAACUUCGGGAAACCGGAGCUAAUACCGGAUAAUAUUUUGAACCGCAUGGUUCAAAAGUGAAAGACGGUCUUGCUGUCACUUAUAGAUGGAUCCGCGCUGCAUUAGCUAGUUGGUAAGGUAACGGCUUACCAAGGCAACGAUGCAUAGCCGACCUGAGAGGGUGAUCGGCCACACUGGAACUGAGACACGGUCCAGACUCCUACGGGAGGCAGCAGUAGGGAAUCUUCCGCAAUGGGCGAAAGCCUGACGGAGCAACGCCGCGUGAGUGAUGAAGGUCUUCGGAUCGUAAAACUCUGUUAUUAGGGAAGAACAUAUGUGUAAGUAACUGUGCACAUCUUGACGGUACCUAAUCAGAAAGCCACGGCUAACUACGUGCCAGCAGCCGCGGUAAUACGUAGGUGGCAAGCGUUAUCCGGAAUUAUUGGGCGUAAAGCGCGCGUAGGCGGUUUUUUAAGUCUGAUGUGAAAGCCCACGGCUCAACCGUGGAGGGUCAUUGGAAACUGGAAAACUUGAGUGCAGAAGAGGAAAGUGGAAUUCCAUGUGUAGCGGUGAAAUGCGCAGAGAUAUGGAGGAACACCAGUGGCGAAGGCGACUUUCUGGUCUGUAACUGACGCUGAUGUGCGAAAGCGUGGGGAUCAAACAGGAUUAGAUACCCUGGUAGUCCACGCCGUAAACGAUGAGUGCUAAGUGUUAGGGGGUUUCCGCCCCUUAGUGCUGCAGCUAACGCAUUAAGCACUCCGCCUGGGGAGUACGACCGCAAGGUUGAAACUCAAAGGAAUUGACGGGGACCCGCACAAGCGGUGGAGCAUGUGGUUUAAUUCGAAGCAACGCGAAGAACCUUACCAAAUCUUGACAUCCUUUGACAACUCUAGAGAUAGAGCUUUCCCCUUCGGGGGACAAAGUGACAGGUGGUGCAUGGUUGUCGUCAGCUCGUGUCGUGAGAUGUUGGGUUAAGUCCCGCAACGAGCGCAACCCUUAAGCUUAGUUGCCAUCAUUAAGUUGGGCACUCUAAGUUGACUGCCGGUGACAAACCGGAGGAAGGUGGGGAUGACGUCAAAUCAUUAUGCCCCUUAUGAUUUGGGCUACACACGUGCUACAAUGGACAAUACAAAGGGCAGCGAAACCGCGAGGUCAAGCAAAUCCCAUAAAGUUGUUCUCAGUUCGGAUUGUAGUCUGCAACUCGACUACAUGAAGCUGGAAUCGCUAGUAAUCGUAGAUCAGCAUGCUACGGUGAAUACGUUCCCGGGUCUUGUACACACCGCCCGUCACACCACGAGAGUUUGUAACACCCGAAGCCGGUGGAGUAACCUUUUAGGAGCUAGCCGUCGAAGGUGGGACAAAUGAUUGGGGUGAAGUCGUAACAAGGUAGCCGUAUCGGAAGGUGCGGCUGGAUCACC
rnacentral:rRNA from 1 species